rnacentral:lncRNA from 1 species
UUGGUUCUGGUUCUAGCCAUGUCGCCCCUCCUAGUAUCACGUUAAGUUUCACAGCAGGGUAUGCAGUACACUUCUUACCCUGUAGUUGUUUAACGCGAGCACGGAUUAUAGUAUGCACAAACCACAUGUUUUCAUUUUAUGUUAUUUCUGAAGAUAACAUGUUUUAGUUACUGCAUAAGAUUGUUGGGAUCAAUUUUAUCAUAACAUCCUAGUAUAAAAUGUUCCUCAAACAUCAUGCAAGCACCUAACUUUUUAACUUCCAUUCUAAAUGAUGUUAACAGAGAUAG